rnacentral:rRNA from 1 species
GAUGGCGCACGGCUCAGUAACACGUAGUCAAUCUACCCUGAGGACGGGGAUAACCCCGGGAAACUGGGGAUAAACCCCGAUAGGUCAUAGCUCCUGGAAUGGGCUAUGGCUCAAAUCUAUAUGGCCUUAGGAUGGGACUGCGUCCGAUCAGGUUGUUGGUGGGGUAAUGGCCCACCAAGCCUAUAACCGGUACGGGCUCUGAGAGGAGGAGCCCGGAGAUGGGCACUGAGACAAGGGCCCAGGUCCUAUGGGGCGCAGCAGGCGCGAAACCUCCGCAAUGGGCGAAAGCCCGACGGGGUCAGUCCGAGUGGCUCCUGCUAAAGGAGUCUUUUGCCAGCUGUAAACAGGCUGGUGAAUAAGGGGUGGGCAAGCCUGGUGUCAGCCGCCGCGGUAAUACCAGCACCCCGAGUGGUCGGGAUGAUUAUUGGGCCUAAAGCAUCCGUAGCCGGUGUAGUAAGUCCUCCGUUAAAUCCACCUGCUCAACAGGUGGGCUGCGGAGGAUACUGCUACACUAGGAGGCGGGAGAGGCGAGGGGUAUUCCACGGGUAGGGGUAAAAUCCUCUGAUCCGUGGAGGACCACCAGUGGCGAAAGCGUCUCGCCAGAACGCGCUCGAC